CAGCGCGUCGAGUUAGCGCUGUUAGCUCGGUCUGUUGCUACGAAAAUAGAAAGACACCACGCGUUUUUUUUCGAACGAAGCGGCGAUGUCUUCGCUUCGUUGUUUGAGAGAGUUGAUUAGCGAGCGACUAACCGCUGCCGCUGAAGAAAUAUUCACACACGUAGAGAAUAUAAUCGUCGAGUACGAGGAAGAGGUGGAUCGUCAGCGAAAACUGUUGGAGAUCGUUAGUAAACCUCGAUUGAGGCUACAGCGGAUAGAGCUUCCACUGAAAGAUGUUCUUCAGGAGGAGGAGAUUCUCACUGAGCAGCAGCUCUGUAACCAGGAGAGGAACUCAAGUCUGGACCCAGAGGCACCAGAGUCUCUACCGAUUAAAGAGGAAGAGGAGGAAAUCUGCACCAGGCAGGAGCAGGAGCAGCUUGAACUGAAGCAGGAGGCUAAUACCUUUAUGUUGACUCCUGAUAGUGAAGAAAGUGAUCACAUGGAACCAGAACCAGACACUGACCACCAGCUCCUCUCUGCUGUAGCUGAGAGUCAAGCUCAGACAGUCCACAUGAGAAAAAAUACAGUUAAAAAGCCCCAUAUGUGCAAUAUUUGUAAGAAAUGCUUUGCUGGUAAAGGUAGCUUGAAUAUCCACAAGAGAACUCACACAGGUGAGAGGCCGUUUUCUUGUGAAACAUGUGGGAAGUGUUUUCGACAAAUAACGCAUUUGGUUAUCCACAAAAAAACUCACACAGGUGAAAAGCCCUAUAUUUGCAACGUUUGUAAGAAAUGCUUUUCGCGUAAAUACUGCUUGAAUGUCCACAUGAGAACUCACACAGACGAGAAGCCAUUUUCCUGUGAAGCAUGUGGAAAGUGUUUUCAAUCUGCACUAAAUGUGGUGCUUCACCAAAGAAUUCACACAGGUGAGAAGCCACAUACUUGUGAAACAUGUGGAAAGUGUUUUCAACAAAGUUCGGAAUUGAUAAUCCACCAAAGUAUUCACACAGGGGAGAAGCCUUAUUCUUGUGGAACCUGUGGUAAGUGUUUUAAACGCUAUUCAGAUUUGACAAUCCACAUGAGAACUCACACGGGUGAGAAGCCAUAUUCCUGUGCAAUAUGUGGAAAGUCUUAUCGACAUAUUUCACACUUGAUAACGCAUAGAAGAACUCACACAGGUGAGAAGCCCUAUGUUUGCCACAUUUGUAAGAAAUGUUUUGCACGUAGAGAUACCUUGAGGAGACACAUAAGAACUCACAGGUGUGAAGUACUGAAAUGAAAAAAACACAUGUUGGUGAAUCAUCGUAAGCUCUGCUCCAAUCAAAAUAGUAUUUUAAAGUAUUUUAAAAUGUGCCAAAUUAAUUUAAUUUAUUUAUGGCCGACAAAGUUCUGCUCUGAUAAUCCACAAAAAAAUCACAUCAAUGAGAAGCCCCAUAUGUGCAACAUUUGUAAGAAAUUCUUCAUGCUCAAAAAUACCCUGAAGGGUCACAUGAGAACUCGGCACAGGUGAGAAGCCAUAUACCAUUUCAGCUGAAGGUAAUUUGGUGAUGUGAGACUCCAAUAAUUAUCAUCAUUGGCAUCAAGAUGGCACAGGAACUGCCGAGUGAAGAAUCAACUGCAAACUGUAAUAUUUGUAGGAAGCCAAUGGUUUAAGUAACCCUUGAAGCAAAACUUCACUCUAAGACGUCACAUUAUCUGUGUUUAUUAUUGAUCUUUACAUGUUAUUAAUUUAGCCCAUUUUUUGUUUUGUCGUGUAUAUGAUGAUUGUCUUUUUUUUUUACUCAUGAGCUUGAUUUACUUUCUGUUUGGGACCUUGACCUUUUAAGGCCCCAGGUCUCUGCCUCCAUGGAAAACAAUGUGCUCUGAACAUGUGGCGCCUGACAGUCGAAAGGAAAGGGAAAAGACCCACGCACACACGGGGAGAACAUGCAAACUCCACACUGACAGGCCACGACUCACCACUGUGCCACUACUAGGUUAAUUACUCACAUAUUCUUAUAACCAGACCUGGUGUUUAAUAUUAACAGCUAUAACUUACAAUAAGACACAAACUAGGUGCCUUCAAAGGUUCCCUCCCUAGAUACCAAGGCGCCAGACAACCGGACCAGAUACAACAAAGUCUUUCAACUUAACUCAUCACUGACUCCAGAGGUUCCACCAUUGGUCAUCGUCAAAAUCUCCGUAACAAUUAGCACAAUCAUUUUAAUUUGGCCGAUGCUGAGUUCUGAUUAUCCAGUAGAUGGAGUGUGUGAUUGGGAUUUUCUCCAUUUUUAUAUGCACUAAAAUAACCUCACAACCACGGAGCAGACAAAGCUCUGCGCCCACCAUGUGAUCCCUGGCUUGGAUUGAAGGUUGGGAACCAUGGAAGAAACCAUUGAGGCAAAAACGGUAUUUGUUUAUUGAUCAUCAGCAGUGUCUUUACAUUAAAGUAGCUUUUUAGUUGACGAUUUUUGUUAUGUAUUGUCGUCUUUUUAUGAUGUAUCAUAAAUUAUGAGGUAAUCUGGCGUCAGGUUUAACGAACAUGAGCGGAAGUUGGUACGCGCGUUUUUGUCGAUUUUGCACCUAUAUUAUUUGAACAAGUUUUUAUUCAUUAUGGAUUUCUCUGGCUUGAUUCUUAUGUAUUGUUUUGCUUUUCUUGAUCAAGUUUUAUUAUAGAAACAUUGCUGAUAUUGUUGUUUAAUAGUUCUGUUUUUCAUAUAUGAUUCAUUUCAAUCUGUGAUUGAGAUUUAACUCGAUGUGAGGGCGCACUCCUCAGAGCAACUUUGGAGUUUUUCAAAUUUUUCAAAUAUAACUUAUUAACAUGAGUUUCUUGUGCUGUUUUUUAAACCCCGGGGCUUCUCUUAAUUAUGGAAACCUCAACCCUGCAAAGGUGGAACUGACAAUUUUAAGUUACUGUCUAUAUUUUCCCACAAGGGGGCAACAGAGUUCAGUUCGCAAGGAAAGUCCUGCUGUCUCAAAGAAUUAUAAAAAAACGGGGGAAAAAAGUGAACAGAAUCAGGAUUUCUAUACUCUGUGUACAUUCAGUGGUGGUGAAUUCUAAUUGUUAGUUUAUCGUUUCAAAUACUUUCUCCCAGCUUGUGUUUUAAUGUAGAAGUUGUCUUUAAUUCAUCCAUCCCUUCUAAAAUAAUAUCAUAAUUUAUAUUUUUCACCAACUUCACAAUCACUGACUGUGGUGAUAAAGGAAUGAUAAAGUGUCAUAUUUGACUGACUUGUAAAUAUGUCUCUUUAUUACCUUGGUGUCUUUUUAUGCCCGGAUGUUAACAUCAUACAUGUAAUAACCAGAAAGGAUUGUGGCUUGUUAUAAAAAAAUUUUAUUUGUAA